AGCGAACGCUGGCGGCAGGCCUAACACAUGCAAGUCGAGCGAGGACUUCGGUCCUAGCGGCGGACGGGUGAGUAACGCGUGGGAACGUGCCCCUUGGUACGGAAUAGCCCCGGGAAACUGGGAGUAAUACCGUAUGAGCUCUACGGAGGAAAGAUUUAUCGCCAAGGGAUCGGCCCGCGUUGGAUUGGGUAGUUGGUGGGGUAAUGGCCUACCAAGCCGACGAUCCAUAGCUGGUUUGAGAGGAUGAUCAGCCACACUGGGACUGAGACACGGCCCAGACUCCUACGGGAGGCAGCAGUGGGGAAUCUUAGACAAUGGGCGCAAGCCUGAUCUAGCCAUGCCGCGUGAGCGAUGAAGGCCUUAGGGUUGUAAAGCUCUUUCAGCGAGGAAGAUAAUGACUGUACUCGCAGAAGAAGCCCCGGCUAACUCCGUGCCAGCAGCCGCCGUAAAAC
rnacentral:rRNA from 1 species